rnacentral:misc_RNA from 1 species
GAACGCACCUUGCGCCCUUUGGCUAUUCUGAAGGGCAUGCCUGUUUGAGUAUCAUGAACACCUCAACUCUCAUGGUCCAUCCAUGAUGAGCUUGGACUUUGGGGGUCUUGCUGGCCUAGCGUCGGCUCCUCUCAAAUGGAUCAGCUUGCCAGUGUCUGGUGGCAUCACGGGUGUGAUAACUAUCUACGCUUGUGGUUUCCUGCCAUAUAACCUUCAGUGAUGGAGGUUCGCUGGAGCUCACAGAUGUCUCUCCUCGGUGAGGACAGCUUUUUGAACGUUUGAUCUCAAAUCAGGUAGGACUACCCGCUGAACUUAAG